AUUGAACGCUGGCGGCAUGCCUUACACAUGCAAGUCGAACGGCAGCACGGGGCAACCUGGUGGCGAGUGGCGAACGGGUGAGUAAUGCAUCGGAACCUACCUUUCAGUGGGGGAUAACGUAGCGAAAGUUACGCCAAUACCGCAUAUUCUGUGAGCAGGAAAGCAGGGGAUCGCAAGACCUUGCGCUGAUUGAGCGGCCGAUGUCAGAUUAGCUAGUUGGUGAGGUAAAGGCUCACCAAGGCGACGAUCUGUAGCGGGUCUGAGAGGAUGAUCCGCCACACUGGAACUGAGACACGGUCCAGACUCCUACGGGAGGCAGCAGUGGGGAAUUUUGGACAAUGGGGGCAACCCUGAUCCAGCCAUGCCGCGUGAGUGAAGAAGGCCUUCGGGUUGUAAAGCUCUUUCGGCCGGGAAGAAAUCGCACGGGCUAAUACCCUGUGUGGAUGACGGUACCGGAAUAAGAAGCACCGGCUAACUACGUGCCAGCAGCCGCAGUAACAC
rnacentral:rRNA from 1 species